rnacentral:rRNA from 1 species
UACGUAGGGGGCAAGCGUUGUCCGGAAUCAUUGGGCGUAAAGCGCGUGUAGGCGGUUCGGUAAGUCUGCUGUGAAAGUCCAGGGCUCAACCCUGGGAUGCCGGUCGAUACUGCCGGACUAGAGUUCGGAAGAGGCGAGUGGAAUUCCCGGUGUAGCGGUGAAAUGCGCAGAUAUCGGGAGGAACACCUAUGGCGAAGGCAGCUCGCUGGGACGUUACUGACGCUGGAGACGCGAAAGCGUGGGGAGCAAACAGG